rnacentral:rRNA from 1 species
CACGUAGGGCGCGAGCGUUGUCCGGAAUUAUUGGGCGUAAAGAGCUCGUAGGCGGCCUGUUGCGUCCGCUGUGAAAGCCCCGGGGCUUAACCCCGGGUCGGCAGUGGAUACGGGCAGGCUAGAGUUCGGUAGGGGAGACUGGAAUUCCUGGUGUAGCGGUGAAAUGCGCAGAUAUCAGGAGGAACACCGAUGGCGAAGGCAGGUCUCUGGGCCGAUACUGACGCUGAGGAGCGAAAGCGUGGGGAGCGAACAGG